rnacentral:rRNA from 1 species
GACGAACGCUGGCGGCAUGCCUAAUACAUGCAAGUCGAGCGAAUGAAGAAGAAGCUUGCUUCUUUCUGAUUUAGCGGCGGACGGGUGAGUAACACGUGGGCAACCUGCCCUGUAGAUUGGGAUAACUCCGGGAAACCGGGGCUAAUACCGAAUAACCCAUUUCCUCACAUGUGGAAAUGUUAAAAGACGGUCUCGGCUGUCACUACAGGAUGGGCCCGCGGCGCAUAGCUAGUUGGUAGGGUAACGGCCUACCAAGGCGACGAUGCGUAGCCGACCUGAGAGGGUGAUCGGCCACACUGGGACUGAGACACGGCCCAGACUCCUACGGGAGGCAGCAGUAGGGAAUCUUCCACAA